rnacentral:lncRNA from 1 species
CCAGAAAAUCCACUUGCAUCCUAGGUUGUUUUGGGUAACGACUUGCAACUACGGUCAAAGUUAUUAUUCCUUCCACCGACACAGCAUCGCUAGUGAAUCCUACCAAUGGGAAGCUUAUCGGCCCCAAUCAACCAUUCGGAAUGGAUAUUUUUGAGAAUGCAUCAUAAAAUAAAAUAUCGCCAGAGCUUCCACUAUCAACAAGAAUACGACGUACAUCAUAGUCAGCAAUAUUUAAAGAAACUACAACUGCAUCAUUAUG